rnacentral:rRNA from 1 species
ACACGACUACAUUAGAUACCCGUGUAGUCCCAGCCCUAAACGAUGCGCGUUAGGUGUAUCGGUGACCACGAGUCACCGAGGUGCCGAAGGGAAACCGUGAAACGUGCCGCCUGGGAAGUACGGCCGCAAGGCUGAAACUUAAAGGAAUUGGCGGGGGAGCACAACAACGGGUGGAGCUUGCGGUUUAAUUGGAUUCAACGCCGGAAAUCUUACCGGGACCGACAGCAACAUGAAGGCCAAGCUGAAGACUUUGCCGGAUUAGCUG